rnacentral:lncRNA from 1 species
AAAUAUUUUAAAAAUAAAUCUUAAUUAAUAUUUUAUAUUUUUUAUAUUACUUUAUUAUUCUAAUUAUUAAUUAAAUAAAUAUAAAUAAAAAAUAAUUUAAUAAUUAAAUAAUUUACAUAAAAAUAUUUUAAAUUGGUUUAUACACGACAUAAAUUUUUAUAGAAUUUAUUAGUAAUUAAAUUAUAAAAGCACAUUACAACAAAAUUAGGUUAUAGGGACACAUGUUGGAACACUUUUGUGUAUGUAUCUCAUUUAUGUCAAAACUUUUAAAAAAAUCUACUAAUAUCUAAAUAUAAAGCCCAAUCCGAUCAAAAAUAAAAGGUUACUCUAUUCAACCCAUCCCACCCACUGAAAUCGAUUACCAUCUCCCUUUCUCCCCUCACUCAAUCCACUGAAAUCUUAGGCGAAGAGCUCUUCCCUCUCUUCCUCUUCCGCCACCGCAGCCAACGAGAUAGAGUUCCGACGUUUGCUAAAUGCUUAAAUAAGUGUUGGUAAAUUAGCAAUACUCUUUUUAGAUUAUACCGAUACUCUUUAACUGUCACUACUAUAUACCCAACGAUCCCACAUAUAGCAACACUUUUUAAAAGUGUCGAUAAUUUAUCCAGCAGCAUUUUUUUGACCUAUACCAAUAUUUAAAAGUGUCGCUAUACACCGUUUUUAUUGUAGUGGCAUAUGUAAAAAAAUAAUUAGAAAAAAUAUUAAAAUAUUUUUAAAAAUUUAUAUAAAUUAAUAAUUUAGUAAAUUUAAUCGAUAUAUAUUAACGGGUUAUUUAAUUUUAUUUCGUGGAAAAUAAUCAUAAUUAUUAAAUUUGGU